rnacentral:misc_RNA from 1 species
GAGUGCAUGUAAUAGAACCUGUACCAGAAAUUGUGGUUAAGGAACUGUCCGUUAUAUGAACUUUUUCUUUUCUUGAGCACGGGGAAUAGGUAAAGAAUUUAUUUAAAAAACUUGUCAUUUGUUUGCUCCUGAAUCUGUAACCUAAUAAGAUUUAUCAAGAUUGAUAAGAAAAUGUUACUUGAUUUUACAAAAUUAGAAGAGACAACUGUGAAAGAUUGAGAUUCAAACCGAGAUAGUAAAUGCCUUAGAGAUUGAACUUUUUCAUUGAAAAAAAUCCCAAUAUCGUUUGUUGCUUUAGAGUAAUCGACUAUUUUAGACAUGUUGGCUUGUGUUUAGGUUAAGACAAGGGUUGGGUAGAGGCACAACACAUAAGUAACAAUUGGAAAAAAGCCGGAAGAGGUCCACGUGUUGUGAACAAUGCAUGUGAAUAGUACUAGAGCCCGCCCUAAUGAAUUGAAUGCUCUGAUACCAUGAUGAAAGACAUUGAUAUUUAAGGGGAUUUUUCUGUGCAUUUCUUGAUGAUAAAAAUGAAAUAGAAGGCUCCUAUUUAUAUAUAAAGAAUCAUACCUAAAUAGAAAACCAAAAAAUAGGAAGCUAAUUAUAAUGGGAAAAUACAAUUAAUGCCGAAUAAUCUGUAUUCCUAAAAUCAAUAAAUCUUUUCAACCUUGUUUUCAAUUAGAGGUCCUUCAAGUGUAGCAUUGUGUAUUCUUAGUGUAAACAUGUGGUACUACCUUCGUUGUGUUAUUUGAAUAUAAAGUCUUUUGACUGAUUAAAACAAUUGUGAUGAGAUAUGCCAUAAUUGGUAUAUAAAUUUAUUGACAUGUUUAUCGGAUGGUAGCAUCAUAGUUACCAGAUUCGCUCACCCCCCCCCUUGGGAACCGUGAUCUAGGCCAUUUGUUUAGAAUUGCAGGAUGUUUGCAUUCCAAAUCACUAGGGGGCACGAUCUAGGUUGCCAAAAUAGAGGUUCCGGUGAGAAAUGAACAGAAGAAAGGAAGGAAGAAAGAGAUAAAAAAAGGGCAAAUCACCUAAAAAAAUCCUAGCCUUUGUUUAUUUUUACAAUUCUACUCCAUCCUUUUUUUUUUUUUUGACAAUUUUACUCCAAUCUUUGGUACCCCAUUUAAUUUUACCCUAUAGUCAAAAUCAGUUAUUAAAUUUAACAGCAACACCAUGUCAUCAUGUCUAAUAAGCAUU